UUUUGUAGAUAAGCAAAGAAACUGGUUUCUUGAGAUAGAAUCUGGUAUUGGUAAAGAUGCCCUCAA
rnacentral:pre_miRNA from 1 species